AGAGUUUGAUCCUGGCUCAGGACGAACGCUGGCGGCGUGCUUAACACAUGCAAGUCGAACGGAGCACCCUUGAAUGAGGUUUCGGCCAAAGGAAAGGAAUGCUUAGUGGCGGACUGGUGAGUAACGCGUGAGGAACCUGCCUUUCAGAGGGGGACAACAGCUGGAAACGGCUGCUAAUACCGCAUGACGCAUUCGGAUGGCAUCAUCUGAAUGCCAAAGAUUUAUCGCUGAAAGAUGGCCUCGCGUCUGAUUAGAUAGUUGGCGGGGUAACGGCCCACCAAGUCGACGAUCAGUAGCCGGACUGAGAGGUUGACCGGCCACAUUGGGACUGAGAUACGGCCCAGACUCCUACGGGAGGCAGCAGUGGGGAAUAUUGGGCAAUGGGCGCAAGCCUGACCCAGCAACGCCGCGUGAAGGAAGAAGGCUUUCGGGUUGUAAACUUCUUUUAAGAGGGAAGAGCAGAAGACGGUACCUCUUGAAUAAGCCACGGCUAACUACGUGCCAGCAGCCGCGGUAAUACGUAGGUGGCAAGCGUUGUCCGGAUUUACUGGGUGUAAAGGGCGUGCAGCCGGGCAUGCAAGUCAGAUGUGAAAUCUCAGGGCUCAACCCUGAAACUGCAUUUGAAACUGUAUGUCUUGAGUGCCGGAGAGGUAAUCGGAAUUCCUUGUGUAGCGGUGAAAUGCGUAGAUAUAAGGAAGAACACCAGUGGCGAAGGCGGAUUACUGGACGGUAACUGACGGUGAGGCGCGAAAGCGUGGGGAGCAAACAGGAUUAGAUACCCUGGUAGUCCACGCUGUAAACGAUGGAUACUAGGUGUGCGGGGACUGACCCCCUGCGUGCCGCAGUUAACACAAUAAGUAUCCCACCUGGGGAGUACGAUCGCAAGGUUGAAACUCAAAGGAAUUGACGGGGGCCCGCACAAGCGGUGGAUUAUGUGGUUUAAUUCGAAGCAACGCGAAGAACCUUACCAGGUCUUGACAUCCUGCUAACGAAGUAGAGAUACAUCAGGUGCCCUUCGGGGAAAGCAGAGACAGGUGGUGCAUGGUUGUCGUCAGCUCGUGUCGUGAGAUGUUGGGUUAAG
rnacentral:rRNA from 1 species